AUGAUCUUCUGCACAUUGAUGGCAAUGGAGGGACCAAUUCUUUGUCGCCCUAUAAUGCAAGCAAGGCUUCCUGCUGCCCUUGUCAACAACUCAUUGAUCAAAUCUGGGCAGCUUGGCACUGCAUUCUUGGGUGCUGUGUCUAAAUACCGCAACAUUACUAGACUAGUUUCUCCAAUCUCUCAGUCAUCUUCAAAGAACUUUGGUCCUAUUUGUCAUAGCUUCAGCUCCUCAUCUGAUGGUAAUGGAUACAUGGCUGGAAACUUCAAUGAAAAUGAUGAAGAUUAUGUUAAUUCCACUGUGCUUGAAGCUGUUGAGGUCAGAAGUGGAUCAGAAGGAUAUAUAGUAAAGAUGCGAGAUGGGAAAAACCUGCGGUGUGUGCAUAAUAAUUCUCAAGGGAGAGAGAUUCCAGAGAGUGCACCACAACCUGCUAUCGUUUUGAGAAUUGAAGAUGGAAGUGGAACUUUACUUCCAAUCAUUGUUUUGGAGAUGCCAAGUGUACUUCUGAUGGCUGCUAUUCGCCAUGUUCAUAUUGCAAGACCUACAAUAUAUCAAGUUGUUAAGGAACUGAUCGAUAAGAUGGGCUAUGAGGUAAAACUUGUUCGGGUAAACAAAAGAAUUGAAGAAGCAUACUGUGCCGAGCUUUAUCUAACAAAGAUUGGAGAUCAAACAGAGAGUAUAACAUUUGAUCUUCGGCCUUCGGAUGCUAUCAAUAUUGCUGUUCGCUGCAAGGUUCCUAUACAAGUACAUAGGAGUCUUGCAUACAGCGACGGCAUAAGAUCAGUCGAGCCAGCAAAAUUGGUGGCCACAGGUGGCCUUUCAGAUGGUUUGUUGUUUACUGAACUUGACAGACCUGAUGGAGAGCCCUGCGUUGAAGCUCAAGAGUUUAGUUUGGUGCGAAACAUGUUCAUUGCAGUUGUUGAAGAGAGAUACAAAGAUGCAGCAACAUGGAAGGACAAACUAAUGAGGCUGAGAUCUAAGCGGAAGAACUGGGCCUGA
rnacentral:rRNA from 1 species